rnacentral:rRNA from 1 species
GUAAAUUCCAUCUAAAGCUAAAUAUUGGCGAGAGACCGAUAGCGAACAAGUACAGUGAUGGAAAGAUGAAAAGAACUUUGAAAAGAGAGUGAAAAAGUACGUGAAAUUGUUGAAAGGGAAGGGCUUGAGAUCAGACUUGGUGUUUUGUGAUUAUCUUUCCUUCUUGGAUUGUGCACUCGCAUUAUACUGGGCCAGCAUCGGUUUGGGUGGUAGGAUAAUGACAUUGGAAUGUGGCUCUACUUCGGUGGAGUGUUAUAGACUUUGUUGAUACUGCCUACCUAGACCGAGGACUGCGUCUUUUGACUAGGAUGCUGGCGUAAUGAUCUUAAGCCGCCCGUCUUGUAACACGGACCAAGGAGUCUAAC